GGCCGCCUAGCGUAAUGGUUAACGCGCUAGUUUCCGGCUUAGAGGCAUAUUGUGCCCGUCAGUAGCUAGAGAGUCUGAGUUCGAGUCUCAGGGUGGUCG